CCAGCUGGCUGCUGCUGCUUCUUGCAACGGAUGUGGGUGAGUCUUCUUCCACCAGUGCGGACUCUACUUCAGGUUUCUUUUUCCUCCAUUCAGCUGCCAACCUUCAGCACAGAGGCUGGGGAGAAGAAGAAGUGGCUGAAGGAGAGCUCAAGAAGCGUGAAAUGUAUCCUGGACAUUGGCCUCCAUCCACACUUCACAGUGCGAGAACAACGAGGGCAGUGAGACAUGCAAUGAGAAUGGAGAUGCCACAAAAGUGGGGGAGCGGGUGUCCGCUUCUGCUCCAAGGCCUGGACUCUGGUGCUGCAUUCACCAUAUCCAUGCUAUUUAAAAGGAAAACUCGAGGCACGUAUUUCCUCCAAGAUGCUCAGGGGCCCUGGUUUGUGAGCUGUUGUCCCUGUGGGAAGCUCCCGCCUCCCUUUCCAUAAAUGUUCCCCCUGCUGCCACUGAAUCACCAAAUAAUCUGGAGACCCGUGGGAAGGGAAUUAAAUGGUGGUUAUCACGCUGCCGUAUUCUGCUCACUUUAUUUGUUUUAAAUGACCAUGAAAGCAAAGGGGGAAAAAAGAAAACACACAAGUGGAAACUUAAUUGAGCUGCUGAAAUGUCUUUAAAGGAGGAUUAUAGGCUGGGUUAUGAUGCCUCAGCUCCCACUGGUGGCAUUUUCUCACGUGAGUGGGCAUCUGAUUAGGCAGAGGACAUGAAAGAUACCCAGUUGUGGGGAUAUGACAGGGUUUUUGAGAAGACUGCAUGGUCCAAAAAUGGCCAGGAUGGGACCAUGCUGAAGGCACCCUGUAUCACUGAGGGCUACAAGGGUCUGUGCCCUUGUUUCACAGCAAGGUUUCCUACCCCAAGG